GGAUGGAUCACCUCCUUU
rnacentral:rRNA from 1 species